ACACAUGCAAGUCGAACGAGAGAGAAGGAGCUUGCUUCUUCGAUCGAGUGGCGAACGGGUGAGUAACGCGUGAGGAACCUGCCUCAAAGAGGGGGACAACAGUUGGAAACGACUGCUAAUACCGCAUAAGCCCACGGGUCGGCAUCGAUCUGAGGGAAAAGGAGCAAUCCGCUUUGAGAUGGCCUCGCGUCCGAUUAGCUAGUUGGUGAGGUAACGGCCCACCAAGGCGACGAUCGGUAGCCGGACUGAGAGGUUGAACGGCCACAUUGGGACUGAGACACGGCCCAGACUCCUACGGGAGGCAGCAGUGGGGAAUAUUGCACAAUGGGGGAAACCCUGAUGCAGCGACGCCGCGUGGAGGAAGAAGGUCUUCGGAUUGUAAACUCCUGUUGUUGAGGAAGAUAAUGACGGUACUCAACAAGGAAGUGACGGCUAACUACGUGCCAGCAGCCGCGGUAAAACGUAGGUCACAAGCGUUGUCCGGAAUUACUGGGUGUAAAGGGAGCGCAGGCGGGAAGACAAGUUGGAAGUGAAAUCUAUGGGCUCAACCCAUAAACUGCUUUCAAAACUGUUUUUCUUGAGUAGUGCAGAGGUAGGCGGAAUUCCCGGUGUAGCGGUGGAAUGCGUAGAUAUCGGGAGGAACACCAGUGGCGAAGGCGGCCUACUGGGCACCAACUGACGCUGAGGCUCGAAAGUGUGGGUAGCAAACAGGAUUAGAUACCCUGGUAGUCCACACCGUAAACGAUGAUUACUAGGUGUUGGAGGAUUGACCCCUUCAGUGCCGCAGUUAACACAAUAAGUAAUCCACCUGGGGAGUACGACCGCAAGGUUGAAACUCAAAGGAAUUGACGGGGGCCCGCACAAGCAGUGGAGUAUGUGGUUUAAUUCGACGCAACGCGAAGAACCUUACCAAGUCUUGACAUCCUGCGACGAUGCUAGAA
rnacentral:rRNA from 1 species